GCAUUUUUUAUCCAUUUCGUCUCAAACAGCUUAUCUCCUGGACGAACCCUAGCUGAGUUGUUCCCGGCGGCGUCGGGGGAAACGGAGCUGGAGCCGAUCGGGGAGGGGGACGAGGCACCGCGCGGCCGUCGCGUGCAUCCCCCCCGACGGAUGCGCGCAGGAGGAGGCGACCUGGUAGGGAGACGAGGCGCCGCCCGGGCGUGGCAUCCAGGCCCCCAGCAGAUGGGAGAGGCGCCGCGCGGCCGUGGCGUCCGACCCUCGGCUCUCUGCGGCGGCGAGAUUGGGCAAAGGUAGGAGCGGCGGUGGCGUCAAGGUCUUCGGCUCCCUCGAUGGAUUUGCGGCGACGGGUGGGCGGAGUGGUGGUUGGCUCGCAUCGCCGGCGAGGCGGGGGAAAGGUAGCAGCGGCCGUGGCAUCUAGGUGGUCGGCUUCCUGGACGGAUGAACGUUGCAGCACCACAUCGAGCUGAACCGAGAUGAGUUCAGAUUUUAGAAUGGUUGUAGUUUGUCAAUCCGGGAGGACCUGCUCAACAAGUAUGCAGAACAGAUGGUUAACUACUGCACCAUGGCUUCAAACAAUAGUCUGGAACUCUGGAUGAUUCAUUGGUUUCACCGGUGAACCUUGUGUGAACAAGAAGAAAGAACACCUUUUACAACUGGAGAACAAAGUGGACUAUGUAUGUUCAGAGUACAAAGACAAGAACAUAUGUCAUGAUAAAAGACUCGAAGACGAAAAAUGCAAAUCUAGGAAAUGCGGUGAACUUUUCUGGUUCAUGCUAAUAUUGUAUGUAGCUAGAUUACUGACUCCCACCCUCUAGGGUAAAGAUUAUAUAUCGUGUAAUCCGGUCUUUCAUUAUAUAGGUAAUGUCAGAUUCAUCAUA